rnacentral:rRNA from 1 species
UACGUAGGCAGCAAGCGUUGUUCGGAGUUACUGGGCGUAAAGGGUGCGUAGGCGGCUUCUUAAGUCUGGUGUGAAAUCUCCCGGCUCAACUGGGAGGUGCGCCGGAUACUGAGGGGCUAGAGUGUGGGAGAGGAAAGUGGAAUUCCUGGUGUAGCGGUGAAAUGCGUAGAUAUCAGGAGGAACACCGGUGGUGUAAACGGCUUCUGGACCAUAACUGACGCUGAGGCACGAAAGCGUGGGUAGCAAACAGG